rnacentral:rRNA from 1 species
UUGGCUUGGAAGCAGCCAUUCAUUCAAAGAGUGCGUAACAGCUCACUAGUCGAGGAGCUGGGCGUGGAUAAUAAUCGGGUAUGAAACCAGUUACCGAAGCCGUGGGAUGCUUAAGCAUCGGUAGGGGAGCAUUGCAUGCGGCUUAGAAGGCGGGGCGCGAGCCCCUCUGGAGCGCAUGGAAACGCAAAUGUAGGUAUAAGUAACGACAAGGGGGGUGGGAUGCCCCCCCGCCGAAAGACCAAGGUUUCCUGAACAACGCUAAUCGGUUCAGGGUCAGUCGGGUCCUAAGCAUAAGCCGUAUGGCGAGGGCGAUGGACGAAACGGUUAAUAUUCCGUUACUGUCUUGGUGUGUGACGCGGCGACGGAGUAGUGACACGGCCGCCUCCUGACGGAAAAGGGGGUUGAAGCGCAAAGGUGUCGAGGAAGGCAGGCAAAUCCACCUUCCGAGCCGAAGCGCGAAAGUACGCCGGGCCCUUUGGGGCAAGGCGAUAGUGCCGGUAAUCAGACUUCCAAGAAAACCCGCUAAACUUCAGCACCAAGUCACCCGUACUCCAAACGGACACACGUGGUCGGGUAGAAUAUACUAAGGCGCUUGGGAGAUUCACGGUUAAGGAACUAGGCAAAUUGACCCCGUACCUUCGGAAUAAGGGGUCCUCGCUUUUGCGAGGCGCAGAGAAUAGGUCCAGGCAACUGUUUAACAAAAACACAGGGCUGUGCCAAUUUGAAAGAAGAAGUAUACAGCCUGACACCUGCCCGGUGCCGGAAGGUUAAGAGGAGAGCUCAUCAGCGAUGAGAAGGCUUGAAUUGAAGCCCCGGUAAACGGCGGCCGUAACUAUAACGGUCCUAAGGUAGCGAAAUUCCUUGUCGGGUAAGUUCCGACCUGCACGAAUGGUGUAAUGAUCUGGACACUGUCUCAACCGUGAGCUCAGUGAAAUUGUAGUAUCGGUGAAGAUGCCGAUUACCCGCGAUGGGACGAAAAGACCCCGUGAACCUUUACUAUAGCUUAACGUUGUACCCGGGCUGUCGAUGUGUAGGAUAGGCCGGAGGCGUCGAAUCGGGCACGCCAGUGUCCGUGGAGCCGUUGUUGAAAUACGGCCCUUUGGCCGUCUGGGUACUAACUUGGUGAAUCCAAGGACCGCGUUUGGUGGGUAGUUUGACUGGGGUGGUCGCCUCCAAAAGCGUAACGGAGGCUCCUCAAGGUGCCCUCAGGCCGAUUGGUAACCGGCCGCAGAGUGUAAUGGCAAAAGGGCGCUUGACUGGGAGGCCGACAGGCCGCACAGGCAGGAAACUGGAGCAUAGUGAUCCGGCGGUUCCGCAUGGAAGGUCCGUCGCUCAAAGGAUAAAAGGUACUCCGGGGAUAACAGGCUGAUCCCUCCCAAGAGCUCAUAUCGACGGAGUGGUUUGGCACCUCGAUGUCGGCUCGUCACAUCCUGGGGCUGGAGAAGGUCCCAAG